rnacentral:rRNA from 1 species
AAUGAUUAGUUAAGGGUAGAGAACUGGCUACACAGACUGCAACCACACCCCCGACACCCUGCUGAAACCUGAUAUUAAGAUUUUAGGGAUUGAUUAUUGUAUGAAAGCUAGUUGCACUGUGGAAGUGCUUCCCUACCCAUGGACCUUUUGGAGAGGAACUGCUCGUGGGGUAACAAUGGGUAAGGGGCCGAUCAACUGAUACCUGAUGAGGGACUGACACCCCGGCCUUACUCACACGGACCGCAGCCCUGAGGAAUGUUGCACAAUGGAACCGUAGGCAGAUCAGGGAAGUCUGACUGAACGAUGAAGCUUUUCUGAAUGAAGAUUGCUUUCCGUUGGGACUGCCGUAUGACAGUACCAAACGAUUAACUGAGAAGUUAAAUAUGUGCCAGCAUCCGCCCCAAUGCCUAUGGCUAAGCAUUAUCCGCAUCUAAUGUCCUACCAACGCGCCGAGCUGUAUAUAUGACUCUGAUGUGUAAAUGCAAUGCUCGGGUCUGAAUUGCGUUGAAAACGGUGUAACUAGCUUACUGUAAACCUCUGCGGAAACUGCAGAGCAUACGUGAAAUACGGAAAAGUUUGAAUUAAUGUCCAUAGAGAAGCCAUCUUACUGGACAUAUACUGACGGUGAAUCGCGAAAAUAUGCGGAGCUGUGGAGAGUAUAUAGCCCUCGGAAGUCGCGCGCCACAAAC